rnacentral:lncRNA from 1 species
GACAAAUGAUGUUGUCGCUAUCUUCCCACCGCCCUAAACUCAAUUUUUGGAAGCUCUUACAUUAAUUAUUCAUACACUCCUUUAUAUUCCAUUCAUCAUCCUUUUCUUCCUUCUCCAUUUUUAUUUUUAUUUUUUCAUUUUUUCUAAUAUUAAAUUAUUUGAUUAAUUAAUCCAUGUUCUACAAUACCACGUGAAUUCGUUUCUCCCCCCCCCAAAAAAAACACGAU